UUUGCAAAGUACCAACCUUAGAAGGUUAACUUUAAUAAUUUAAUUUAGUGAUUGAAAUUUGAAUUACACCAAUAAUAAAAUGUCACUCAAUGUUAUAUUAGAUUCAAUGUUAAUUAUCCGUCAAAGGACAUAAAUAGGAAAAAAUUAAUUAGAUAUAUAUUUCUAAUAAAAUAGGUAAAUGAAGAGUAUAUUCCGCUGAAAAAAAGGUUGAUUUUUUCCCUUCAGCGGAAUUUUGUAAAAUUUGAUGGUUGCCAUUAGUUGCGCAUGAUUACUGUAGAGUUAACAAUGGCGGCUUCAGAUGCUUCAUCAGACUAUUACAUGACUGGAUCUGCUCAACCAGGAGUAGCAACCCAGUCGGGUGCAGCACCGGCAGUGACCACUCCCAAGAAAAAGCGAGGUAGACCCAGAGCCACGCCUAUUUCUGUAAAGCCAAUUUCAUCCGUCGCACCUUUUCUCAGGUGAUUGAUUUUUAGGCGAAAGUCCGGCCAGUUGGGUCAGCUAUUACAGUUGUAUCAGCCCAAAGUUGAUGUUGAGAAAUGAGAAGUCAGGAUGUCAGCAUGAAGGUUUUAUCAUUCUUUCAACAAGGGUCUCGGUCAAUGUGUAUUCUCUCAGCAACUGGUGUAAUCUCUAGUGUCACAUUUCAUCAAACAGAUACUUCUGGUGGUAAAGUGACAUUUGAGGUGUUGCAUCUUAUUACUUUGCUCUUGUUAUGGUUAAUCUUCUGAUUAUCUUGUGCCAAUAUCAUUUUGAAGAGCCAUGUACAUUUGAUGAUUGCUUCUACGCGUGAGGUUCCAUUGUAUGGUAUUCUUUCUUGGCCUAUCAAAUGAUGUAGUACUAUAUGCAAUUCUGGUAAUUAGGUGUCAGGUAAACGUUAUUGAUGAAAUAUUUAGCCUAAGUAGUCUCUUAAAUAUUAAAACUUUCUAUUCUUCUGUUUUUCAGUUUUAUCUAUAGAUACAAAUAUAGGUUAAUUUUGGAUUUUUUUUAUAAUAAUGUGAAAGACUUAUCAGAUUGAUGGCAUUGAUCUUAUUGGUGCACUUUCUUUCAUUUGAAGGCACGGUGCUUUUGUUACCUUAAAACAAAUAGUUUUCAUUCUCUGACUGCCUUGGGCAUGGACGUGCGUUUUCUUGUACCUGUAGACUAUGGUAUCAUCCAAGUCCCUAAAAUCGGGCCGGUAUGAUUUACUUACUUCCGCUGGAUCAUAUGUGCAUUCCGAGACUGGAGGAAUGAGAAACUUAUCUGGUGGAAUGAGUCUGUCUCUAUUAAUCCCGAGGGACGUGUCAUUGGUGGUCGGAUUGACGGUCAAUUGGUAGCUGCCAGUCCUGUGCAGAUUCUUCUGGGCAUCCUUCCUGAAAAUUAGCAUGAGCAGAUGUGAGCUGCAUAUCAUUCCCUUCCUAUUGAUCCAUAUCCAGUGAGGUCUUUUUAGUAAUCUGAACUAGUUUUUCUAGAAAGUAUUUUUUUUGCCUUCCCAUCUGGUGUUUCGUAUUAGAAUUGCGGAGGUACAAUGGCCCCCGAAAAAGAUAAUUUUCAUUUGUUGUUGAGGUUCCCUUUCUAGUUUUAGCAAAUGCCAGACAACUUCUCGUGGCAAUGCAUGUGAACUGCUGCGGUCCUCUUCAGGACAAAAAAAUAUUUGAUCAUUGGCUUUUCAGAA